GGCUACACAUGCAAGUCGAGGGGUAACAGGGAGCUUGCUCCGCUGACGACCGGCGCACGGGUGCGCACCGCGUAUGGAACCUACCUUGUACAGGGGAAUAGCCCAGGGAAACUUGGAUUAAUGCCCCGUGGUACCAUGACCCGGCAUCGGGAUAUGGUUAAAGCCUUCGGGCGGUACAAGAUGGCCAUGCGUCCCAUUAGUUUGUUGGUAAGGUAACGGCUUACCAAGACUACGAUGGGUAGGGGCCCUGAGAGGGGGAUCCCCCACACUGGUACUGAGACACGGACCAGACUCCUACGGGAGGCAGCAGUGAGGAAUAUUGGACAAUGGAGGAGACUCUGAUCCAGCCAUGCCGCGUGCAGGAAGAAUGCCCUAUGGGUAGUAAACUGCUUUUAUACGGGAAGAAAAAGAGCUACGUGUAGCUUACUGACGGUACCGUAAGAAUAAGGACCGGCUAACUCCGUGCCAGCAGCCGCGGUAAUACGGAGGGUCCGAGCGUUAUCCGGAAUUAUUGGGUUUAAAGGGUCCGUAGGCGGGCCGAUAAGUCAGGGGUGAAAGUCUGCCGCUCAACGGUAGAACUGCCUUUGAUACUGUCGGUCUUGAGUUAUAGUGAAGUUGCCGGAAUAUGUAGUGUAGCGGUGAAAUGCAUAGAUAUUACAUAGAACACCGAUUGCGAAGGCAGGUGACUAACUAUAUACUGACGCUGAUGGACGAAAGCGUGGGGAGCGAACAGGAUUAGAUACCCUGGUAGUCCACGCCGUAAACGAUGGAUACUAGCUGUCCGGAACCUUGAGUUCUGGGCGGCCAAGCGAAAGUGAUAAGUAUCCCACCUGGGGAGUACGUUCGCAAGAAUGAAACUCAAGGAAUUGACGGGGGCCCGCACAAGCGGUGGAGCAUGUG
rnacentral:rRNA from 1 species